rnacentral:rRNA from 1 species
CCUACGGGUGGCAGCAGUCGAGAAUCAUUCACAAUGGGGGAAACCCUGAUGGUGCGACGCCGCGUGGGGGAAUGAAGGUCUUCGGAUUGUAAACCCCUGUCAUGUGGGAGCAAAUUAAAAAGAUAGUACCACAAGAGGAAGAGACGGCUAACUCUGUGCCAGCAGCCGCGGUAAUACAGAGGUCUCAAGCGUUGUUCGGAAUCACUGGGCGUAAAGCGUGCGUAGGCUGUUUCGUAAGUCGUGUGUGAAAGGCGCGGGCUCAACCCGCGGACGGCACAUGAUACUGCGAGACUAGAGUGAUGGAGGGGGAACGGGAAUUCUCGGUGUAGCAGUGAAAUGCGUAGAUAUCGAGAGGAACACUCGUGGCGAAGGCGGGUUCCUGGACAUUAACUGACGCUGAGGCACGAAGGCCAGGGGAGCGAAAGGGAUUAGAUACCCGAGUAGUC